rnacentral:lncRNA from 1 species
GAAGAUACUCGAUGAAAAACGCUGGUCCUGCAAUGCUUAUUUGACUGCGAGAUCUUUUCCUCUACAAUACAAUCUCACCCUUCCCUCACGCCUAUAAAAGGGGCUCCAUCUCUAUACUCCACAAUCCCAAAAAUAUCAUCUCUCUCACCCUCUAUCCCUCCAUUUUAUAAUAUUCCUCUCUCCGUUUUCUUCCCAGCUUCAAUGUUAAAAAUUUUUGCCGCUAAUAUAAUUUUCUGUUCGAGGUAGUCUUGAGUCGGUGAUGCGAUAUCGCGCUCCAAGAUGCACACCUUUCAUAUAUAAGGCAUCAUUUGUGGGUAUCCAAAAAGCUUGAACUCAUGAUCGCAUAACGACCGUCAACUGGCCCCCGAUUAUACUCGAACUCAUAAUCGUAUCAUGGCCGCCGAUUGGGACCUCCACUUAGUCUUCGAUCUGUGACCAUAUCAAGCACUGCCACCUCGAAACCCGACUUCCGUAGGAUGAGUUUUUGAGGUAAUGAUUCUAUCCCAGGAUGACAUAUGAAAUGUGUGUGUUAUGAGUCGUGUUAUCACAUCCCCAAUCCUUCAAAUCACCCUUAAAACCCUAACCCUAAAAAAUCUGAGGAGAGAGUGAAAUCGUACCCAACAAACAACCUAUUUCCCCAAAUUAAAAAAAAAACCUAAAAAGACUAAAUAAAAAUAAUCGACAUAUAUGCCUUAUUUAGCCUUGAGCAUCUGAUAUGCAAUAAUAAUAUUAUGUUGUAUUUCUAUAAAGGUUGAUCAAGACGGAUGGAUAAUGUCCCUUAACAAAGUCACCAAUAACCUUAAAAUAAUCUUAUAACUAAAAUUGCACAGUCCAAAAGUGGGAAAAUGAGCAACUUCAUCCCACCCCUUACUAAAAAAAUGUUAGGGUCAUUUAUGCCCUUUCGUAAUUUUCCAUUAGUAAAGAAGACCUUUACCAAAUUGAAAACAUCUUCCAAUAUUUAUGAUAAAAAAUAAAAAUAUCAAAAUGAUUUUUUUAAAUUUUAUUUUUCAUGCUUAUAUUAUAGAAAAACAAUUUUUUCUUGAUUAGAAUUGUUGUUAAGAAAAUUUUAAAAGAUUCUUUUAACUAUAACUUAGGGAUCAAUUCUUUUAACUAAACUUAAGGAUCAAAUUAGCUAUUAACCCUUUGAAUUAACUAUUCAAUUUUUAUGAGAUUAGAUAUGAUUUUUAUUUUCUAUUAUUUGAAAAUUGAAGAAUGCUUUUGAUAGACAAAAAUAAAAAUUUGUUUUUAAUAAUGAAAAUAAGAAAACAUGUUCCAUACCUAUUUUUUCUAUAAUAUAAAAAUGAAAAAUGUACUUAUAUAAAUACAAAUCAUGGUAUCAAAUUUAAUAUUUUAAAAAUUGUUAAAAAGAAUUAUCAUUACAUUUAUAUAUUAUAGCAUUUAUAUAGGUUUAAAUCAUGUAAAUUCAUUUAAAGUUAAAAAUCCCUCAAUUUUCUUCAUUUUCAAUUUUACAGAACUUUUGAAGUAAAAACAAUGAAACCAAUUUAUUUUUUCUAAUUUUCAUUUUAUUUUUCAUUAUUUUAUUUUAAAGUUCUCACUAAACAUGUUUUUUUUUUAAAUAUUUUUUAUUUUCCAAAAAAACAAAAACAAAAACAACCUCUAUUGCAUAUAACCAAAAAGAGCCUUAAUCGAUUUAAUCAAUAACUUUAUCUAAGAACUUCCUUUAAAUUAGAUUACCAAAGAUUUUUUAAAUAAAAAAUUUGCUCUUGUAUGGAAGGCUAAAUAGUCGUAUAAAAAUACUGAAUUUGAUAUUGCAAGGUUUCUGAUUAUUAAUAUGAAGUCAGCAUUGUUUCAAUGGGAGUAAAAUAAAUUAAGCAAAGCAAUGUUUGCAUGGACCACUGCUUUUGCUUAUGACUCAGGCUCACAUAAACUCACUUUUCUAUUUGGCAAUGAAUCAUUCCUAUGUGCCGUUUAAAAAUAUUCCAUGAUUUCUACAUCAGAAAAUUUACAUGUAACUCUAGUCCUACAAACAAAUCCAAGGCCCUACCACUUAAUCCAGGUCUUGUUACACCAAUUAAAUGUUAGACUGUAAACCUACCCUAAGUUGUUUUUGCCCUAUCAUCUAACAAUUCAACAGAUAUGCUAACUUAUCUGGAUGAAACUCAGGAGAAGCUCCAUCUGCAACCUGACUUUCAACUGGUUUUGCGAACUCCAGAACAUUCAGGUAGCUGUCAUGAUCUAAGGUAUCCUUCAAUCGAAUCCGCCACAAUGGCAGGAGCAUCAUGUCCUGUAUUGGUUCUAAUAUCUUGCAAACCUAACUUUCUCAUCAGAUGUUAACGUUAGUGUAUAUGGUUUCAAAUCAAUGUUAAAAUUUGUCAUGCAUCUAUACUCUGAUUCUCAUCAAGUAGUCCCAAUUUAUAAUCCAAGAUGGGACUCUGACUUGUAACCAAAUUGGUAAAUAAUUACUCAUGCAAGCACCCGUUUGCCAAUGAACCUUGACGAGUUUCACUUGGGAGACUUUUAUAAUUAACAUGACAUAGGGAGAGGGCGCCAUGUUCUUCAGAAGAUUCAGUCCCAAGUACUAACACCAUUUUGCAACUCAGCCAAUAGAGAUUUCAUCAACUCUUGUGGCCAUCAUAUUCGGGCAGACAGGAGGGAUCGUCUUACGGCAGACAUGACACCUAAAUCCAAUAAUCUUGCUUUUGUUCCCCGAAUUAAGCCCAUAAGCAUCUCCAUGAAACCAUUCUGCAUAAAUUAAUUGAAAGGAAUAUUAUGAAAA